rnacentral:rRNA from 1 species
UACGUAGGGGCCGAGCGUUGUCCGGAGUUAUUGGGCGUAAAGCGCGCGCAGGCGGCUUGACGCGCCCGACGUGAAAGCCCCCGGCUUAACCGGGGAGGGUCGUCGGGUACGGUCAGGCUUGAGGGCGGGAGAGGGUGGUGGAAUUCCCGGUGUAGUGGUGAAAUGCGUAGAGAUCGGGAGGAACACCUGUGGCGAAGGCGACUACCUGGCCUGUUCUUGACGCUGAGGCGCGAAAGCUAGGGGAGCAAACGGG